rnacentral:rRNA from 2 species
UGCAAGUCGAACGAACUCUGGUAUUGAUUGGUGCUUGCAUCAUGAUUUACAUUUGAGUGAGUGGCGAACUGGUGAGUAACACGUGGGAAACCUGCCCAGAAGCGGGGGAUAACACCUGGAAACAGAUGCUAAUACCGCAUAACAACUUGGACCGCAUGGUCCGAGCUUGAAAGAUGGCUUCGGCUAUCACUUUUGGAUGGUCCCGCGGCGUAUUAGCUAGAUGGUGGGGUAACGGCUCACCAUGGCAAUGAUACGUAGCCGACCUGAGAGGGUAAUCGGCCACAUUGGGACUGAGACACGGCCCAAACUCCUACGGGAGGCAGCAGUAGGGAAUCUUCCACAAUGGACGAAAGUCUGAUGGAGCAACGCCGCGUGAGUGAAGAAGGGUUUCGGCUCGUAAAACUCUGUUGUUAAAGAAGAACAUAUCUGAGAGUAACUGUUCAGGUAUGACGG